UACGUAGGGGGCAAGCGUUGUCCGGAUUUAUUGGGCGUAAAGAGCGUGUAGGCGGCCGUACAGGUCAGCUGUGAAAACUCGAGGCUCAACCUCGAGACGUCGGUUGAAACCGUACGGCUAGAGUCCGGAAGAGGAGAGUGGAAUUCCCGGUGUAGCGGUGAAAUGCGCAGAUAUCGGGAAGAACACCCAUGGCGAAGGCAGCUCGCUGGCCUACAACUGACGCUGAGGCGCGAAAGCGUGGG
rnacentral:rRNA from 1 species